ACGGAAGGCAGCAGUGGGGAAUAUUGCACAAUGGGGGAAACCCUGAUGCAGCAACGCCGCGUGAAGGAAGACGGUCUUCGGAUUGUAAACUUUUGUUCUUAGUGAAGAUAAUGACGGUAGCUAAGGAGAAAGCCACGGCUAACUACGUGCCAGCAGCCGCGGUAAUACGUAGGUGGCAAGCGUUAUCCGGAUUUACUGGGUGUAAAGGGCGCGUAGGCGGGGAUGCAAGUCAGAUGUGAAAUCCAUGGGCUUAACUCAUGAACUGCAUUUGAAACUGCAUCUCUUGAGUGUCGGAGAGGUAGAUGGAAUUCCUAGUGUAGCGGUGAAAUGCGUAGAUAUUAGGAGGAACACCAGUGGCGAAGGCGAUCUACUGGACGAUAACUGACGCUGAGGCGCGAAAGCGUGGGGAGCAAACAGGAUUAGAUACCCUGGUA
rnacentral:rRNA from 1 species